rnacentral:rRNA from 1 species
ACGAACGUUGGCGGCGUGUAUAAGGCAUGCAAGUCGAGGGACGUGUUCCCGCAAGGGAAUUACGACCGGCAGACGGGAGAGUAACACAUUGGUAACCUACCUCUAAGACGGGGAUAGCCCACCGAAAGGUGGAUUAAUACUCGAUAGUAAUCCCGAUUUUAAUAAUCGGGAUUUAAAUGAUUUUUCGCUUAGAGCAGGGCCUAUGAUCUAUCAGCUAGUUGGUGAGGUAAUGGCUCACCAAGGCUACGACGGAUAGGGGACGUGAGAGCGUGAUCCCCCUCACUGGGACUGAGAACUGCCCAGACACCUACGGGUGGCUGCAGUCAAGAAUCUUCCGCAAUGGACGAAAGUCUGACGGAGCGACGCCGCGUGCAGGAUGAAGCCCUUUGGGGUGUAAACUGCUUUUAUAGGGGACGAAUUUGUGACGGUACCCUAUGAAUAAGAGGUUGCUAACUCUGU